GGGUCAGUAGGUUGGUCGUGCCACCGGUACGUACUGGUCUCACUGAUUCCUCCUUCCUGAAGAACCGUAAUGCCAUUAAUUUGGCGUUGCGGGGAAACAGGACUGUUACUUUGAAAAAAUUAGAGUGUUUAACGCAAGCUAACGCUUGAAUACAUUAGCAUGGAAUAAUGAAAUAGGACGAUCGAUCCUAUUUUGUUGGUUUCUAGGAUUGACGUA
rnacentral:rRNA from 1 species